rnacentral:rRNA from 1 species
GACGAACGCUGGCGGCGGGCUUAACACAUGCAAGUCGAGCGGAGCGGCGAACGGGUGAGUAACGCGUGAGUAACUGCCCCCCUCUCUGGGAUAACAGUUGGAAACGGCUGCUAAUACCGGAUAGUGGGGGAUGAAUCGCGUCCUAUCAGCUUGUGGGUGGUGGAGGGGCCUACCAGGGCGACGACGGGUAGCCGGCCUGAGAGGGCGACCUGCCACAUUGUGCUGAGCUACGGCCCAAACCCCUACGGGAGGCAGCAGUGGGGAAUAUUGCACAAUGGGGGAAACCCUGAUGCAGCACCGCCGCGUGCGGGAUGACGGCCUUCGGGUUGUAAACCGCUUUCAGCCAUGACGCGGUAGUGGCAGAAGAAGCACCGGCUAACUACGUGCCAGCAGCCGCGGUAAUAC